rnacentral:rRNA from 1 species
UACGUAGGGCGCAAGCGUUAUCCGGAAUUAUUGGGCGUAAAGAGCUCGUAGGCGGUUUGUCGCGUCUGCCGUGAAAGUCCGGGGCUCAACUCCGGAUCUGCGGUGGGUACGGGCAGACUAGAGUGAUGUAGGGGAGACUGGAAUUCCUGGUGUAGCGGUGAAAUGCGCAGAUAUCAGGAGGAACACCGAUGGCGAAGGCAGGUCUCUGGGCAUUAACUGACGCUGAGGAGCGAAGGCAUGGGGAGCGAGCAGG